GACGAGUGGCGGACGGGUGAGUAAUGUCUGGGAAACUGCCUGAUGGAGGGGGAUAACUACUGGAAACGGUAGCUAAUACCGCAUAACGUCGCAAGACCAAAGAGGGGGACCUUCGGGCCUCUUGCCAUCGGAUGUGCCCAGAUGGGAUUAGCUUGUUGGUGGGGUAACGGCUCACCAAGGCGACGAUCCCUAGCUGGUCUGAGAGGAUGACCAGCCACACUGGAACUGAGACACGGUCCAGACUCCUACGGGAGGCAGCAGUGGGGAAUAUUGCACAAUGGGCGCAAGCCUGAUGCAGCCAUGCCGCGUGUAUGAAGAAGGCCUUCGGGUUGUAAAGUACUUUCAGCGGGGAGGAAGGGAGUAAAGUUAAUACCUUUGCUCAUUGACGUUACCCGCAGAAGAAGCACCGGCUAACUCCGUGCCAGCAGCCGCGGUAAUACGGAGGGUGCAAGCGUUAAUCGGAAUUACUGGGCGUAAAGCGCACGCAGGCGGUUUGUUAAGUCAGAUGUGAAAUCCCCGGGCUCAACCUGGGAACUGCAUCUGAUACUGGCAAGCUUGAGUCUCGUAGAGGGGGGUAGAAUUCCAGGUGUAGCGGUGAAAUGCGUAGAGAUCUGGAGGAAUACCGGUGGCGAAGGCGGCCCCCUGGACGAAGACUGACGCUCAGGUGCGAAAGCGUGGGGAGCAAACAGGGAUUAGAUACCCUGGUAGUCCACGCCGUAAACGAUGUCGACUUGGAGGUUGUGCCCUUGAGGCGUGGCUUCCGGAGCUAACGCGUUAAGUCGACCGCCUGGGGAGUACGGCCGCAAGGUUAAAACUCAAAUGAAUUGACGGGGGCCCGCACAAGCGGUGGAGCAUGUGGUUUAAUUCGAUGCAACGCGAAGAACCUUACCUGGUCUUGACAUCCACGGAAGUUUUCAGAGAUGAGAAUGUGCCUUCGGGAACCGUGAGACAGGUGCUGCAUGGCUGUCGUCAGCUCGUGUUGUGAAAUGUUGGGUUAAGUCCCGCAACGAGCGCAACCCUUAUCCUUUGUUGCCAGCGGUCCGGCCGGGAACUCAAAGGAGACUGCCAGUGAUAAACUGGAGGAAGGUGGGGAUGACGUCAAGUCAUCAUGGCCCUUACGACCAGGGCUACACACGUGCUACAAUGGCGCAUACAAAGAGAAGCGACCUCGCGAGAGCAAGCGGACCUCAUAAAGUGCGUCGUAGUCCGGAUUGGAGUCUGCAACUCGACUCCAUGAAGUCGGAAUC
rnacentral:rRNA from 1 species